CUACGGGGUGCUGCAGUGGGGAAUAUUGCACAAUGGAGGAAACUCUGAUGCAGCAACGCCGCGUGGAGGAUGACACUUUUCGGAGCGUAAACUCCUUUUAUAUAGGAAGAAGAUGACGGUACUAUAUGAAUAAGCGCCGGCUAACUCCGUGCCAGCAGCCGCGGUAAUACGGAGGGCGCAAGCGUUACUCGGAAUCACUGGGCGCAAAGAGCGUGUAGGCGGAUUAAAAAGUCAGAAGUGAAAUCCUAUAGCUUAACUAUAGAACUGCUUCUGAAACUCUUAAUCUAGAAUAUGGGAGAGGUAGAUGGAAUUUCUGGUGUAGGAGUAAAAUCCGUAGAGAUCAGAAGGAAUACCGAUUGCGAAGGCGAUCUACUAGAGCAUUAUUGACGCUGAGACGCGAAAGCGUGGAGAGCAAACAGGAUUAGAUACCCCCGUAGUC
rnacentral:rRNA from 1 species